rnacentral:rRNA from 1 species
GAGGCUCCGUAAUUCGAAUGAGUACAAUUUAAAUCCUUUAACGAGGAUCAACUGGAGGGCAAGUCUGGUGCCAGCAGCCGCGGUAAUUCCAGCUCCAGAAGCGUAUAUUAAAGUUGUUGCAGUUAAAAAGCUCGUAGUUGGAUCUGGGUCGCAUGGCUACGUGCCGUCACUUGUAUUCCGGGCCUGGCCACGGUCGGGUCCGGUUUGUGAGUCGGUUUCGUGGCUGUGUAGCCUUUCAGUCGUGUCUGUUUCGACAGGUGCCGAUGGUUCAUCCGUUGGCAUGCUUCCAGAUGCCUUUAACCGGGUGUCGGGAGCGGACGGCUAGUUUACUUUGAACAAAUUUGAGUGCUCAAAGCAGGCUUAUGCCUGAAAAUUCUUGCAUGGAAUAAUGGAAUAGGACUUCGGUUCUAUUUUGUUGGUUUUCGGAUCCGAAGUAAUGGUUAAGAGGGACAGACGGGGGCAUUUGUAUGGCGGUGUUAGAGGUGAAAUUCUUGGAUCGCCGCCAGACAAACUACAGCGAAAGCAUUUGCCAAGGAUGUUUUCAUUGAUCUUGAGCGAAAGUCAGAGGUUCGAAGACGAUCAGAUACCGUCCUAGUUCUGACCAUAAACGAUGCCAACUGACGAUCCGAGGGGCGUACUUUGAGUGACCCCCACGGGGCAGUCCCCGGGGAAACCUUUAAGGCCUUUGGGGCUCCG